rnacentral:lncRNA from 1 species
UCAUUGUUAUACCAGAGUUUCCUUUGGGCUAUGGACUGAAAUGAAAUGACCCAGAGAUAAACUGAGCUGGACUGUGGUAUGGGGACACAGACCCUGACAUCUCAUGUACCUGCCAAGAUUGUAGCCACCAAGACUGACUGAAGAGGAGCAGACCAGUGGAGCUAGCUAGAGUGACGGUGGGAAUCCACAGUCCCUGAUUCCUGGGAACUUGCAGGAAGGAUUUCAGGAAAUAUCUUUUCACAGGAAAAAGAUCUGGGAUCUGAUACGGGGCCCAAGACAAAGUUACCACAGGUUGACUCUUACCAGGGAGACUUGAUCUGCAUAACAAGACAAUCCUAGCUUAGCAGGCACCUUCCCCUUCAACCUUCCACAGCCUGAAGCCCAAACCUCCAUCCUGCUAUUCUGAUUUCUAUAAAAGCCUCAAUGGUCCAGCCCUCCUCUGAGU